CCUACGGGAGGCAGCAGUGAGGAAGAUUGGUCAAUGGGCGGAAGCCUGAACCAGCCAAGUAGCGUGCAGGAUGACGGCCCGACGGGUUGUAAACUGCUGUUAUACGGGAAGAACGCGCCGUACGUGUAGGGCUUUGCAUGUACCGUAUGAAUAAGGACCGGCUAAUUCCGUGCCAGCAGCCGCGGUAAUACGGAAGGGCCGGGCGUUAUCCGGAUUUAUUGGGUUGAAAGGGAGCGUAGGCAGCAUGUCAAGCGUGCGGUGCAAUGUCCGGGCUCAACCCGGGCCUUGCAGCGCGAACUGGCGUGCUUGCGUCCGCGGCAAGCCGGCGGACUUCGUCGUGUAGCGG
rnacentral:rRNA from 1 species